CUCCCGAGUAGCUGGAACUACAGGCAUGCAUCACUACGCCCAGCUAAUUUUUGUAGUUUUAGUAGAGACGGGGUUUCCAUGUUGGCCAGGCUGGUCUUGAACUCCUGACCUCAGGUGAUCCUCCUUCUGUCACCCAGGCUGAAGAGAUCCACACUUCAGCCUCACAAAGUGCUGGGAUUAGAGGCGUGAGCCACCGUGCUCGGCCCCAGGCAUAGUUUUAAAUGACAUUUAUCUACUGGCUUUUCCAUUGAGUUUUUAGUGUGAUAAACUGAUAAUGUUUAACCAUAAAGAAAGUUAACAACCCCUUAACUUAUAACCACUUUGAAGUUUAUUUUACAGCACUUUAAUUGAAACAUUAUUUAACUACUGACCAGGACUGUUUACAAAUGCAAUGCUUGGCCUUCGAGAUAAUUAAAAACCUUUAAGUAUUCAACUGAGUCAGU
rnacentral:lncRNA from 1 species